UACGUAGGGUGCAAGCGUUGUCCGGAAUUAUUGGGCGUAAAGAGCUCGUAGGCGGUUCGUCGCGUCGGCUGUGAAAUCCCGGAGCUCAACUCCGGGUCUGCAGUCGAUACGGGCGGACUUGAGUUCGGCAGGGGAGACUGGAAUUCCUGGUGUAGCGGUGAAAUGACGCAGAUAUCAGGAGGAACACCGGUGGCGAAGGCGGGUCUCUGGGCCGAUACUGACGCUGAGGAGCGAAAGCGUGGGGAGCGAACAGG
rnacentral:rRNA from 1 species